rnacentral:rRNA from 1 species
ACUGCAGUCGAGCGAACGGACGAGAAGCUUGCUUCCUCUGAUGUUAGCGGCGGACGGGUGAGUAACACGUGGAUAACCUACCUAUAAGACUGGGAUAACUUCGGGAAACCGGAGCUAAUACCGGAUAAUAUUUUGAACCGCAUGGUUCAAAAGUGAAAGACGGUCUUGCUGUCACUUAUAGAUGGAUCCGCGCUGCAUUAGCUAGUUGGUAAGGUAACGGCUUACCAAGGCAACGAUGCAUAGCCGACCUGAGAGGGUGAUCGGCCACACUGGAACUGAGACACGGUCCAGACUCCUACGGGAGGCAGCAGUAGGGAAUCUUCCGCAAUGGGCGAAAGCCUGACGGAGCAACGCCGCGUGAGUGAUGAAGGUCUUCGGAUCGUAAAACUCUGUUAUUAGGGAAGAACAUAUGUGUAAGUAACUGUGCACAUCUUGACGGUACCUAAUCAGAAAGCCACGGCUAACUA